rnacentral:rRNA from 1 species
ACGCGUGGGUAACCUGCCCUUGAAUCCGGGAUAACUUCGCGAAAGCGUUGCUAAUACCGGAUACCGUUCCUGAAACCGUGGUUUUAGGAAUGAAAGGUGACCACUUCAUGAAAGUUGCCGUUUAAGGAGGGGCUCGCGUACCAUUAGCUUGUUGGUGGGGUAAUGGCCUACCAAGGCGACGAUGGUUAGCUGGUCUGAGAGGAUGAUCAGCCACACUGGAACUGAAACACGGUCCAGACUCCUACGGGAGGCAGCAGUGAGGAAUUUUGCGCAAUGGGGGAAACCCCGACGCAGCAACGCCGCGUGAGUGAAGAAGGCCUUCGGGUCGUAAAGCUCUGUCAAGUGGGAAAAAAGCCUUUUAAUUAAUAGUUAAAAGGUCUGAUGGUACCACUAGAGGAAGCACCGGCUAACUCCGUGCCAGCAGCCGCGGUAAUACGGAGGGUGCAAGCGUUGUUCGGAAUUACUGGGCGUAAAGAGCGUGUAGGCGGUAUGGUAAGUCAGAUGUGAAAGCCCAGGGCUUAACCUUGGAAGUGCAUUUGAUACUGCUAUUCUUGAGUAUGGGAGAGGAGAGUGGAAUUCCCAGUGUAGAGGUGAAAUUCGUAGAUAUUGGGAGGAACAUCCGUGGCGAAGGCGACUCUCUGGACCAAUACUGACGCUGAGACGCGAAAGCGUGGGGAGCAAACAGGAUUAGAUACCCUGG